rnacentral:rRNA from 1 species
AAGCGUGCGCAGGCGGUUAUGUAAGACAGAUGUGAAAUCCCCGGGCCUCAACCUGGGAACUGCAUUAGUGACUGCAUAGCUGGAGUACGGCAGAGGGGGAUGGAAUUCCGCGUGUAGCAGUGAAAUGCGUAGAUAUGCGGAGGAACACCGAUGGCGAAGGCAAUCCCCUGGGCCUGUACUGACGCUCAUGCACGAAAGCGUGGGGAGCAAACAGGAUUAGAUACCCUUGU